rnacentral:rRNA from 1 species
UAGGGAAUUUUGCGCAAUGGGGGCAACCCUGACGCAGCGACGUCGCGUGUGGGAUGAAGGGUUUCGGCUCGUAAACCACUGUCAAACGGGAAGAUGGGAUUUAUGGUUAAUAGCCAUAGAUUUUGACUGUACCGUUAAAGGAAGCACCGGCUAACUACGUGCCAGCAGCCGCGGUAAUACGUAGGGUGCUAGCGUUACUCGGAAUCAUUGGGCGUAAAGGGUGCGUAGGCGGAAUUAUAAGUCAGACGUGAAAGCCUUGGGCUCAACCCAAGAAGUGCAUUUGAUACUGUAAUUCUAGAGUACAGGAGAGGAAGGUGGAAUUCCCGGUGUAGAGGUGAAAUCCGUAGAUAUCGGGAGGAAUACCAGAGGCGAAGGCGGCCUUCUGGACUGACACUGACGCUGAGGCACGAAAGCGUGGGGAGCAAACAGG